GAACCAAACGGACAGCCCGUAGUACCUGCAGUCGAGGGACGAGGAGUGACCAUCUACAGGCGUGGUUGUCAACAGGGUCUGCGAGCUGUAACUUGCCUUAAGUACAUACUUAAAUGGACCAGCCCAUUAAUACAACCAACUAACCAAACCAAUUACUCCUCCCUACCUUGGCUUUGGGCCGAUUAAAAGCUCUGAUGUGAUUGUAAUGUAUCACCACAUAAAUCUGACAUGCAUGAUUGUAGAGCUGGGGAAAAAAAAAAAAAAAAAAAGAAUAUCUCAGCUAAGUUGACUUAAAAAAAAUAGGUCAACACUAGAUUUCUGCCUCGAAGCUCCCCCGGGACAAAAAAAAAAAAAAAAAAAAAAGAAGUUACACCAAGAACCAAUGUUUGCGCCGUCGGAACCUAUGUUUCACACAGACAUUUAUUGCAGACGGACGCCGUGUUUGGCCAAUAAUACACUUCACCAAAAACUUCAAAUGAGCAUCUAGCGGGUCCAACAAAUGCAACACCUGUGACUGCGCUCUCUCACCUGUAAGAAGAAGCGGGGGCUCUCGGGCAUGAAGACUCACCCGAAUCCCGACAGCAUGCGGCAGAAGAGGAAGGUGCUGUAGCCUUGCACGAAGGAGGAGAGGAAGGCGAAGAAGCCGUUAGCUGACAAUGAUAUCAGCAGGCACUGUUUACGGCCCAGCUUGUCCGACAGGCCGCCCCAAAAGAAGGCUCCGAACAUCAUUCCGAGGCCUGUUUCAGGGAGAGGCGGCGGACGGCUGAGCGAUGAAGGGAAACGGCGGUGAUUCCUGCAAGGCAGUUUUCACUCCCCACACCUCCUGCUCUUCCUCCUCCUCCUCCUCCUCCUCACGACAGCGACGCAUCAUGCGUGACUCACAGCUGGGAAUUCCUUUGGGUGGCGACGGCGGAUGAUGCGACGGGCACGUCUUCGCCUCAGCGCUCGCCCCGGAAUGGAGGUGACAGCUCGCCGAGUGUGCAUUUUCGUGAAAUAUUAGCUUUUGGCUAACGGCCUCUUCUAGUCUGCUUGUAGUUUGAAGCCGUGUACGACAGCGCCGCACAACGCCGAGAGCCGCUACUAAUAUUCGGCCUUGUCAUGCAUAGCCAAAUAAAGCAGGUGGUGCGUCAACUCCUACGGUA